GAAGGCUGAGCUGUGAUGGGGAAGCUCCUUAUGGAGCGAAGUCUUUGAUUCCCCGCUGCCAAGAAAAGCUUCUAGCGAGAUAAAAGGUGCCUGUACCGCAAACCGACACAGGUAGGCGAGGAGAGAAUCCUAAGGUGUGCGAGAGAACUCUGGUUAAGGAAUCUCAAAAUGACCCCGUAACUUCGGGAGAAGGGGUGCUUUCUUAACGGAAAGCCGCAGUGAAUAGGCCCAAGCGACUGUUUAGCAAAAACACAGCUCUCUGCGAAGCCGUAAGGCGAAGUAUAGGGGGUGACACCUGCCCGGUGCUGGAAGGUUAAGGGAGAGGGGUUAGCGUAAGCGAAGCUCUGAACUGAAGCCCCAGUAAACGGCGGCCGUAACUAUAACGGUCCUAAGGUAGCGAAAUUCCUUGUCGGGUAAGUUCCGACCCGCACGAAAGGUGUAACGAUUUGGGCACUGUCUCAACCAGAGACUCGGUGAAAUUAUAGUACCUGUGAAGAUGCAGGUUACCCGCGACAGGACGGAAAGACCCCGUGGAGCUUUACUGUAGCCUGAUAUUGAAUUUUGGUACAGUUUGUACAGGAUAGGCGGGAGCCAUUGAAACCGGAGCGCUAGCUUCGGUGGAGGCGCUGGUGGGAUACCGCCCUGACUGUAUUGAAAUUCUAACCUACGGGUCUUAUCGACCCGGGAGACAGUGUCAGGUGGGCAGUUUGACUGGGGCGGUCGCCUCCUAAAGUGUAACGGAGGCGCCCAAAGGUUCCCUCAGAAUGGUUGGAAAUCAUUCGUAGAGUGCAAAGGCAUAAGGGAGCUUGACUGCGAGACCUACAAGUCGAGCAGGGACGAAAGUCGGGCUUAGUGAUCCGGUGGUUCCGCAUGGAAGGGCCAUCGCUCAACGGAUAAAAGCUACCCCGGGGAUAACAGGCUUAUCUCCCCCAAGAGUCCACAUCGACGGGGAGGUUGGCACCUCGAUGUCGGCUCAUCGCAUCCUGGGGCUGUAGUCGGUCCAAGGGUUGGGCUGUUCGCCCAUUAAAGCGGUACGCGAGCUGGGUUCAGAACGUCGUGAGACAGUUCGGUCCCUAUCCGUCGUGGGCGUAGGAAAUUUGAGAGGAGCUGUCCUUAGUACGAGAGGACCGGGAUGGACGCACCGCUGGUGUACCAGUUGUUCUGCCAAGGGCAUAGCUGGGUAGCUAUGUGCGGAAGGGAUAAGUGCUGAAAGCAUCUAAGCAUGAAGCCCCCCUCAAGAUGAGAUUUCCCAUAGCGUAAGCUAGUAAGAUCCCUGAAAGAUGAUCAGGUUGAUAGGUUCGAGGUGGAAGCAUGGUGACAUGUGGAGCUGACGAAUACUAAUAGAUCGAGGACUUAACCAU
rnacentral:rRNA from 1 species